CAACUUGUGGGAGCUUGUUUCAUGGGAAUGAAGAGUAUCACUAUUUGUUUUUCAAUUUGUGCCUACAAGUCAUAAUUGAUGUCAAGAACAGUUCGGAAGCAUCUUGCCCCAGCAGCAGCUCGAGUCACUGGGCUUCACCGCCUUAUGAAGUGCAAUGGGAUCAUAUAUGUAUUUUCAUACAAUGACAACGUGUAGCAAGAGAAAAAAAUCUUCAUGUGUAUCCAGACCAUCAGCAUAAAGCCUGCAUCAUGAGUGAUUCAGAAUCUCAUUCUGAGGGGCAUGUGACUCACAACGUUGGAGUAAAAUGGGAAGGAAGAUGUCCAGGUACCUUUAAGACCAGCAAGCCUGGCACCUCCUCCACAUA